UACAGAGGUCCCAAGCGUUGUUCGGAUUCACUGGGCGUAAAGGGUGCGUAGGUGGUGGGGUAAGUCGGAUGUGAAAGCUCGGAGCUCAACUCCGAAAUGGCAUUGGAAACUAUCCUGCUAGAGGAUUGGAGGGGGGACUGGAAUACUUGGUGUAGCAGUGAAAUGCGUAGAUAUCAAGUGGAACACCAGUGGCGAAGGCGAGUCCCUGGACAAUUCCUGACACUGAGGCACGAAAGCUAGGGGAGCAAACAGG
rnacentral:rRNA from 1 species